rnacentral:rRNA from 1 species
UACCAGCACCCCGAGUGGUCGGGACGAUUAUUGGGCCUAAAGCAUCCGUAGCCGGUUCUACAAGUCUUCCGUUAAAUCCACCUGCUUAACAGAUGGGCUGCGGAGGAUACUAUGGAGCUAGGAGGCGGGAGAGGCAAGCGGUACUUAGUGGGUAGGGGUAAAAUCCGUUGAUCCAUUGAAGACCACCAGUGGCGAAGGCGGCUCACUGGCCCGAUACUGACGCUAAGGCACGAAAGCGUGGGGAGCAAACAGGGAUUAAGAAACCCUGGUAACGUCCGA